rnacentral:rRNA from 1 species
CCUACGGGUGGCAGCAGUGAGGAAUAUUGGUCAAUGGGCGCUAGCCUGAACCAGCCAAGUCGCGUGAAGGAUGACUGCCCUAUGGGUUGUAAACUUCUUUGAUAUGGGAAUAAAGUGCAGUAUGUAUACUGCUUUGCAUGUACCUUAUGAUUAAGGAUCGGCUAACUCCGUGCCAGCAGCCGCGGUAAUACGGAGGAUCCGAGCGUUAUCCGGAUUUAUUGGGUUUAGAGGGAGCGUAGGCGGGUUGUUAAGUCAGUUGUGAAAGUUUGCGGCUUAACCGUAAAAUUGCAGUUGAUACUGGCAUCCUUGAGUAUAGUAGAGGUAGGUGGAAUUCGUGGUGUAGCGGUGAAAUGCUUAGAGAUCACGAAGAAUUCUGAUUGCGAAGGCAGCCUGCUGGACUGUAACUGACGCUGAUGCGCGAAAGUGUGGGUAGCAAACAGGAUUAGAUACCCCGGUAGUC